ACCGGUGUGGCUCAGUGGAUAGAGCGUUGGCCUGCAGAUUCAAGGGUCCCGGGUUCGAUUCCGGUCAAGGGCA
rnacentral:tRNA from 1 species